GACGUAGGGUGCGAGCGUUGUCCGGAUUUAUUGGGCGUAAAGAGCUCGUAGGCGGCUCGUCGCGUCGACCGUGAAAACCCGCGGCUUAACUGCGGGCUUGCGGUUGAUACGGGCGGGCUAGAGUUCGGUAGGGGAGACUGGAAUUCCUGGUGUAGCGGUGAAAUGCGUAGAUAUCCGGAGGAACACCAGUGGCGAAGGCGGCCUUCUGGGAUGAUCCUGACGCUCAGACACGAAAGCUAGGGGAGCGAACGGG
rnacentral:rRNA from 1 species